rnacentral:rRNA from 1 species
UACGUAGGGGGCAAGCGUUGUCCGGAAUCAUUGGGCGUAAAGAGCGUGUAGGCGGCCUGAUAAGUCGGCUGUGAAAGUCAAGGGCUCAACCCUUGAAUGCCGGCCGAUACUGUCAGGCUAGAGUCCGGAAGAGGCGAGUGGAAUUCCUGGUGUAGCGGUGAAAUGCGCAGAUAUCAGGAGGAACACCGAUGGCGAAGGCAGCUCGCUGGGACGGUACUGACGCUGAGACGCGAAAGCCAGGGGAGCAAACGGG